rnacentral:rRNA from 1 species
UACGGAGGGUGCAAGCGUUAAUCGGAAUUACUGGGCGUAAAGCGCGCGUAGGCGGUUUAGCAAGUCGGAUGUGAAAGCCCAGGGCUUAACCCUGGAAUUGCAUUCGAUACUGCUUAACUAGAGUAUGGUAGAGGGAAGUGGAAUUUCCGGUGUAGCGGUGAAAUGCGUAGAUAUCGGAAGGAACACCAGUGGCGAAGGCGACUUCCUGGGCCAAUACUGACGCUGAGGUGCGAAAGCGUGGGGGGCAAACAGG